ACAGGGAACGCCGGACAGACAGACCGGACCCAGCCUGCCUGUGCGUGAGGCGUUCGGGUGAUGAAGACAGACGCUGGAAAUAAACUGACCUCUGGCCUCACAAAUCUGACACCCUCUGAGUUUUCCAUGAACCCAGAGACCCGCGCAGCAGAUCGGUGUGUGCCUGCCGGGGGCCGCAUUCGGCUGCAGGCAGACAGAUGGACACACAGGCAGCACAUCAGAGUCCUGAUUCAUCUUCUUCACUACUUCAACACAUCCAAGGUUUUCCAGCGAUAUUUUCACUCUGGAUGAUGCAAUAAAACCAGCAGGGCUGCUGUGUGUUUACCUGCAUGAGCCGUUUGUUUGUAUGUGGGCCAACUGAAGCUCACGGGUGAUGUUGCUUUGAAUGAGGAUAAAAUCCGUUUCUUUUCCAUCAGUCAGCAUAUGAACUCUCCUGACUCACCUGUAGGUCUCGCCCUGAUUGGCUGACCCAACCAGGAAGCAGAUGGGUUUGUGCUGCAGAUUAAAGCGAGGUCUGAGAGGCUGAAUCAUUUCCUCAUCCCUCGGAUCUGUUUGGACGACAUUCUCCAGGAUCCGGUGCUUAGAAGUGGGAACAUGUUCUUCUGAGGAAACCAGCCCGGCCGAAGCUGCUGCCACCUGCCCUUGAGCCAGGCAGCAGCUGCUCCAAACUGGCUAACCCUGGCAGCCUGUUGCUCUAUAAUUAGCAGCUGCGUCCUUCCUGCUAAUCUCCUCCACAGCUGCUCCAAUCAUAUGGCUGGCCCUGGUUGCCAUGGUGAACUAAUUAACUCGUAAAUGACCGAUGGGAAACAAAGUGGCAAGAAGGAAGAAACCUGAAGUAGGGGGACACAACAAACAGAUUUUUAUUUUAAAGUUUUUUUUCCUGAACAUUUCUCUGGUUGCCUGGACAACUGUAAACAAAACUUAAUAUUAAAAAAAUAAAAAGUCUGA